GAAAUUAUUGUAAAGGAUUUGUCUUUAAUGUUCAAAUCAAGACAGCUGACAGGUCUGCAAGUACUGCAUAUCUAUAUACAGUAUCUAUCUAUAGAUAUAUUGCUGAAGCAAAUGGUUAAAAUAAUGCGCGCAGUAAAUCUGGUGAUUGUCGCAUCCGUUAUUAGCGCUGGCAGGUGCGACACCACUAUCGCCAGGCCCACAGUCACAAGGAACAUCGGUGAUAAAGCCGCAUAAGUCUGGGUUGACCGCAUCCGGCAACGGAUUGCCAAAGGACGAAGGAAAGCCAUUUGCCAAACCCUAUAACUGCAAAGGCCCUUGUAAUCCCAAUCAACUCUUCAACAUUGGCCGUGGACCAGAUUCUCUAACGUCGCAUGCAAACGGUCGCUUUACGCAAGACGCACUUGCCAAUGUUAUGGCUGGAGCCCCUGUAAUGAACAUUCGAAUCCCCAUCCGAAAACCCAACCAACACUCGACAUCCGCUACCGUACCACCGGCAAAUAACACAACAACAAAAUCCGUCGUCAAUUUGUCCAAUGCCAAUCCCCCAGCGGCUGCAAUGCUAAAGCGGAUAUUUAAUUGGUCCUGACAA